UUUUUUAUAAAAGUAAUUUAUUUGUUUAAGGUUUUAGUAUUUAUUAAAAAUUAAUUUAUAGAUUUAUAGUUUAAUAGAAUUGAAAAAGAAUUAAUUAAAUUUUUAAAAGAAUAUUUUUAGUACCUUUUGUAUCAGGGUUAAUUAAAAUUUUUAAUUUUUUUUUAAUUUCUCAAAAUUUAUAGAGUUAAUUUUAUUAUUAAUUUAUUGUGUUAUAAAUAUUUAUAAAAUAAAUAUUAGUUUUGAAAUUUAAUUCGUUAUAUAUAUAUUUAGUUAUUUAAGAUUUAAAUUUAAUUUAAAAUUUUUAAAAGUUAUUUUGAUUUUAUAUAUUAAUAUUUUAAAUUUAAAUUAUUUUAGGGAUAAGCUUAAAAUUUUUAUAUAAUAAUUUAUUUAUUUUAAUAAUUUAUAGGAAUAGAAAUUUUUAUUUUAAAUUUGUAAAAAUUUAUUAUUUAUUUAUUUUUAAUUUAUUAUAAAUUUAUUUAUUUUUUUUAUUAAAUUUUAUUAAUUAAUAUUUAAUUUUUAGUAAUAAUGAUUAAAUUAAUAUAAUCUAUAUUUAUAAAUUAUGAAUUCGGCAAAAAUUAUUUUCAUCUGUUUAACAAAAACAUUGUAUUAAGUUUAAUUUAAUAUAGGAUCUGCUCAAUGAUUUAUUAAAUAGCUGCAGUAUUUUGACUGUGCAAAGGUAGCAUAAUAAUUASUUCUUUUAAUUGAGGACUUGUAUGAAAGAUUUGAUGAGAAAUAAACUUUAUUAUUUAUAUAAUUAAAAUUUUAUUUUUAAGUAAAAAAGCUUAAUUUAUUUAAAGGGACGAUAAGACCCAAUAAAACUUUAUAAAUAUUGUUUUUAAUUUUUUUGGAUUUAUAAAUAUUUUAACUUUAUUAUUUAUUUUAUUGGGGUGAUAAAAAAUAAUUAUUAAACUUUUUUUAAAAUUUUACAUUAUUAUAAUGAAUAUUUGAUAUUAAAAUUUUUAAUUAAAGGAAAAAGUUACUUUAGGGAUAACAGGGUAAUUAAUUUUUUAAGUUCAAAUUUAAAAAUUAGUUUGCGACCUCGAUGUUGAAUUAAGAUUAAUCUUAGGUGCAAAAUUUUAAGUAUUAGGUCUG
rnacentral:rRNA from 1 species